GCCUCCUUAGCUCAGUGGUAGAGCAACGCUCUUGUAAAGCGUAGGUCGUCAGUUCGAACCUGACAGGGGGCUCCA
rnacentral:tRNA from 1 species